rnacentral:rRNA from 1 species
CACCCUGAACGGUGGAUCACUUGGCUCGUGGGUCGAUGAAGAACGCAGCUAAUUGCGCGUCUAUUUGUGAACUGCAGGACACAUGAACAUCGACAUUUCGAACGCACAUUGCGGUCCACGGAUACAUAUCCCGGACCACGCCUGGCUGAGGGUCG